AGUGAACGCUGGCGGUAGGCCUAACACAUGCAAGUCGAACGGCAGCACAGUAAGAGCUUGCUCUUACGGGUGGCGAGUGGCGGACGGGUGAGGAAUACAUCGGAAUCUACUUUUUCGUGGGGGAUAACGUAGGGAAACUUACGCUAAUACCGCAUACGACCUACGGGUGAAAGCAGGGGAUCUUCGGACCUUGCGCGAUUGAAUGAGCCGAUGUCGGAUUAGCUAGUUGGCGGGGUAAAGGCCCACCAAGGCGACGAUCCGUAGCUGGUCUGAGAGGAUGGUAAGCCACAUGGGAAAUGAGACACGGUGCGGACUCCGACGGGCGGCAGCAGGGGGGAAUAGUGAAGAAUGGGCGCGAGUUGGAGCGCGCCAUAGCGCGUGAGGAAAGAAGGCCUUCGAGUUCUCAAGUCCUUUGGGUGGGAAAGAAAAGCAGCAGGGGAAUAACCCGGUGUCAUGACGGGACCUAAAGAAGAAGCACCGGCUAACGUCGUG
rnacentral:rRNA from 1 species